rnacentral:rRNA from 1 species
ACGCUCGACACCUACGGGGGGCAGCAGUGGGGAAUAUUGGGCAAUGGGCGCAAGCCUGACCCAGCAACGCCGCGUGAAGGAAGAAGGCUUUCGGGUUGUAAACUUCUUUUGUCAGGGAACAGUAGAAGAGGGUACCUGACGAAUAAGCCACGGCUAACUACGUGCCAGCAGCCGCGGUAAUCUGAGCGGGCUGGCAAGGC